UUGAAAGGGAAACGAUUGAUAGUCAGUCAUGCCGGCGGGAAUCAAUUUUGAGGAAGGGGGAUUUUUUGAACCUAACCUUGAAAUGCACUUCUUCGCUUGGCAGGUUAGCGUCGAUUUUGAACGUUAUAAAAUGAUUGGGGGAAGGUAGCUCUUUCGGGAGUGUUAUAGCCCUUAAUUAAUGUGAUGUUUGGGAUCGAGGAUUGCAACGGAUACCUUUUAGGCUAGCCGCCUGGUCUCUGAUUCGAUGUCGGGUUAUAGACAGCACGCUGACUAUGAUUUGAUUAUUGGUCAAAAGGUUAGAGCGAGCAUAAAUUCGUUAAGGAUGUUGACGUA
rnacentral:rRNA from 1 species